UACGUAGGGGGCCAGCGUUGUUCGGAAUUACUGGGUGUAAAGGGUUCGUAGGCGGUGCGGCAAGUUGGGAGUGAAAUCUCUGGGCUUAACCCAGAGGCUGCUUUCAAAACUGCUGUGCUUGAGUGUGAGAGAGGCUCGUGGAAUUGCAGGUGUAGCGGUGAAAUGCGUAGAUAUCUGCAGGAACACCCGUGGCGAAAGCGGCGAGCUGGAUCACUACUGACGCUGAGGAACGAAAGCUAGGGGAGCAAACAGG
rnacentral:rRNA from 1 species